rnacentral:ncRNA from 1 species
AGAAUUAGAGGACGGAACGGGCAGCCGUCGCCCUAAGCUCGGAGAUGUGGGAGUGUCGCCCCACCUAAGGCA